rnacentral:lncRNA from 1 species
GCACUUUCUUUAAGCGAUGUUUAGAGGACACUAGUCUGCAAGGGUAAUCAUCCUCGCCUCUGGCAGGAAGAGCUCGUGCACUCGCAUUUCCGAGAAGGCUCUCUUUGUGAAUAAUUGAAUUUGUCUCUGGAGCACAAGAUUUCUUUUUCUGUGGGACUAACUGCAGCUCUGCUUCUUCCUUACGUGCAGCUUACUUUAACUGAGGAAGUGCUACAACAGGGACAUGAAAGAGACCUGGUGUUCUCCUGGCCCAGAUUCCUCAUCUGAAUGUAACCAGUGAGCUCUGCACUAGUAAAGUAUUACUAUCUUCCUUAGCAGGCAGUAUAAGUGCAGUUUUUCUACUUACCCAUAUGGGACAAAGGCUGCAAAAAUUCAACUUGUCAUCAAGGCAGAAGUUGUUGUUGUUACUGCUGUUGCCAUGAUAAAAGAAGAGCAGUAUUACAUGAAGGAAAUGCAGUUAAACCAGACUUCAGAAAUUCCAUGCUUUAAGAAUAUGACCUCAAGAAACUAGUCUAAUUAUGCUUUGAAAUGGACAGUGGAGGAAAAUGGAAAGACAGAGGAACUUAUAACCAAGCAGUCCUCCUAUCCCGAGGUGUGUGGGAAUGGCAGUGCACUGUAUGGGUGCAGAGUGUACUUGGGUCUGAAUAACACUCUAAAGAUUUUUGCCACCAAAAUAAUUGAUGAUGGCAAGAAGUUUUCUCGCCAAGGCUGUAAUUUCUGCUUAUACACCAGUGAGUCUGAAAAACAAAUUUCCAACCCUCCUAAAGUGAAUGGGUGUCGAACAGUGUCAAACAGACUGUCAAUGAUACUUUGACUGUAGUUGCUUAUUUGAGGAAGCCCAUGGCUCAGAGAUGGCACAGUAAUGCAAGGUUUGAAGCUCAGGAUGCAAAAGAAGAUUCUACAGGGAAAAGCAGAAAAAAAAGAAAAACUAAACCUCUGUCUUGGGGCUGUCAGUCAUUGAUGCAAAAGAAAUAAAAAUAGAAGUUAAUGAUCUGAGAUUUCCUCU